GGACUGGUGAGUAACGCGUGAGGAACCUGCCUUUCAGAGGGGGACAACAGUUGGAAACGACUGCUAAUACCGCAUGACGCAUUUUGAUCGCAUGGUCGGAAUGCCAAAGAUUUAUCGCUGAAAGAUGGCCUCGCGUCUGAUUAGAUAGUUGGCGGGGUAACGGCCCACCAAGUCGACGAUCAGUAGCCGGACUGAGAGGUUGACCGGCCACAUUGGGACUGAGAUACGGCCCAGACUCCUACGGGAGGCAGCAGUGGGGAAUAUUGGGCAAUGGGCGCAAGCCUGACCCAGCAACGCCGCGUGAAGGAAGAAGGCUUUCGGGUUGUAAACUUCUUUUAAGUGGGAAGAGCAGAAGACGGUACCACUUGAAUAAGCCACGGCUAACUACGUGCCAGCAGCCGCGGUAAUACGUAGGUGGCAAGCGUUGUCCGGAUUUACUGGGUGUAAAGGGCGUGCAGCCGGGCAUGCAAGUCAGAUGUGAAAUCUCAGGGCUUAACCCUGAAACUGCAUUUGAAACUGUAUGUCUUGAGUGCCGGAGAGGUAAUCGGAAUUCCUUGUGUAGCGGUGAAAUGCGUAGAUAUAAGGAAGAACACCAGUGGC
rnacentral:rRNA from 1 species